rnacentral:rRNA from 1 species
UACGUAGGGUGCAAGCGUUGUUCGGAGUGACUGGGCGUAAAGCGUGUGUAGGUGGUUAGGAAAGUUGGAUGUGAAAUCCCUUGGCUUAACCAAGGAAGUGCAUUCAAAACUACCUAGCUAGAGGACGGGAGAGGGAGGUGGAAUUCCUAGUGUAGAGGUGAAAUUCGUAGAUAUUAGGAGGAAUACCGGAGGCGAAGGCGGCCUCCUGGACCGUUCCUGACACUGAGACACGAAAGCGUGGGGAGCAAACAGG